CGCUGGCGGCGUGCCUAAUACAUGCAAGUCGAGCGAGCGGAACCAACAGAUUUACUUCGGUAAUGACGUUGGGAAAGCGAGCGGCGGAUGGGUGAGUAACACGUGGGGAACCUGCCCCUAAGUCUGGGAUACCAUUUGGAAACAGGUGCUAAUACCGGAUAAUAAAGCAGAUCGCAUGAUCAGCUUUUGAAAGGCGGCGUAAGCUGUCGCUAAGGGAUGGCCCCGCGGUGCAUUAGCUAGUUGGUAAGGUAACGGCUUACCAAGGCGACGAUGCAUAGCCGAGUUGAGAGACUGAUCGGCCACAUUGGGACUGAGACACGGCCCAAACUCCUACGGGAGGCAGCAGUAGGGAAUCUUCCACAAUGGACGCAAGUCUGAUGGAGCAACGCCGCGUGAGUGAAGAAGGUUUUCGGAUCGUAAAGCUCUGUUGUUGGUGAAGAAGGAUAGAGGUAGUAACUGGCCUUUAUUUGACGGUAAUCAACCAGAAAGUCACGGCUAACUACGUGCCAGCAGCCGCGGUAAUACGUAGGUGGCAAGCGUUGUCCGGAUUUAUUGGGCGUAAAGCGAGCGCAGGCGGAAAAAUAAGUCUAAUGUGAAAGCCCUCGGCUUAACCGAGGAACUGCAUCGGAAACUGUUUUUCUUGAGUGCAGAAGAGGAGAGUGGAACUCCAUGUGUAGCGGUGGAAUGCGUAGAUAUAUGGAAGAACACCAGUGGGGAAGGCGGCUCUCUGGUCUGCAACUGACGCUGAGCCUAAAAGGCAUGGGUAGCGAACAGG
rnacentral:rRNA from 1 species